GAGGGUAUAGCUCAGGUGGUAAAGCACAUGCUUAGCACGCACGAGGUUCUGGGUUCAAUCCCCAGUACUUCCU
rfam:Camelus ferus unplaced genomic scaffold scaffold877, whole genome shotgun sequence.